CUCCUUUUCUCCUUUUUGCUUUCUGUUUCAUGAGGUAGCCAAGACCAAGUAGGGAUUUUUUUUUUAGUUGGGUUACAAAACAAUUAAAAAAAAGAGAAAAAAAAAUUUACUUUAAAGAGGCGUCGCCUCAAUGUCUCAAAGCCCCUCGCCUCGCCUGCUGGAGAAGCUUGCCUUAUUGACGGCUAGCUAGGCAGUAGCGCCUCACCUUGGCGCCUCUGGCGCCUUUAACAACACUGAUCUGACCUUGGUUUUGUUCGAGAUCAAAUCUUAACUGGUUUUGUUAUUCCUUCUUUGGAAGAUGUCUCUGCUCAAUUGUUGUGCAUUUCUUUAAGUGCAUUUGAAACUAAUAAAAUUAAGCAUCCAUUUUAGCUAUGCAAACUAAAAAUAUCAGCAUGGACAUGGCGAUUUCUGAAAAAGGAAAGGAAAAUGCUCUAAAUCACAUUGUACCUACUGUGACAAAAGUGGCCACACUCACGAUACUUGUUGGGCUUUGCAUGGCUCUAAAUCCCAUUAUACCUAUUGUGACAAAAGUGGCCACACCUGAGAUACUUGUUAGGCACUGCAUGGUCGACCACCAUGCAUCAAUCAAUCCAACACAAGCAAACCCACAACUCAUGUGGCUCAAACCCAUGGUGAUGGACUACUUCCAUUACCAGAUGCAAAAGAUCAACAGUCCAAUUCCAUUGUCUUAACUGGAGUUGAAUACAAUGAGUACUUACAGUAUCAAGCUGCUAAACAACAGUCAUCCUCAUCUG
rnacentral:misc_RNA from 1 species